rnacentral:rRNA from 1 species
AUUGAACGCUGGCGGCAUGCCUUACACAUGCAAGUCGAACGGCAGCGCGGACUUCGGUCUGGCGGCGAGUGGCGAACGGGUGAGUAAUGUAUCGGAACGUACCAUUCAGUGGGGGAUAACGCAGCGAAAGUUGCGCUAAUACCGCAUAUUCUGUGCGCAGGAAAGCAGGGGAUCGCAAGACCUUGCGCUGAUUGAGCGGCCGAUAUCAGAUUAGCUAGUUGGUGAGGUAAAGGCUCACCAAGGCGACGAUCUGUAGCGGGUCUGGGAGGAUGAUCCGCCACACUGGAACUGAGACACGGUCCAGACUCCUACGGGAGGCAGCAGUGGGGAAUUUUGGACAAUGGGCACAAGCCUGAUCCAGCCAUGCCGCGUGAGUGAAGAAGGCCUUCGGGUUGUAAAGCUCUUUCGGCCGGGAAGAAAUCGUAUGGGUUAAUACCCUGUGCGGAUGACGGUACCGGCAUAAGAAGCACCGGCUAACUACGUGCCAGCCGCCGCGGUAAUAC